GCGGCCGAGGUGGGGUGGGCGGCCGGUAGGGUUCCUUGGAGGCCGGGGGCGGAGGGCCGAGUCGACCCGAGCCGGGGCGGGCGGCCGAACAGGGUCGAUGGGGGCUGAGAUUGAGCGGCCAGGCGGGAUCUGAGGGACGGAAGCCGGGGUGACCCUACGCCGCGGGCCAAGCGCGACUCUCUCCCUCUCGACCUGUGCGGAGAGGAAAAACAUGAAGGCGGGCGCCCAAGGAGCCCUGGCCCGGGGAGUAGGAGUCGGGGUGGAAACGGAUCCCCCUUUCUGUCCGCUGGGAAUUGAGGGAAUCCCCCCGCUUUCACCCUCCCAGCCCGCCACGGGGUUGGGCUUUGUCCCUUGUCUUGGGUUUGAAGGCGGAGGCACAAAGGGCUGUCCACAAACCAACCAGCUUCGGAGGCAUAAAUUUGAUGCGAGUUAACAAAGAUUCUCGACUGCGGUUGGCAAGGCCUCCAGUGGCCAAGGAACGAGCCUGGAUGCCCUGCAAACAGUAUGUGUUAGGGAUUGGGGGGGCAUUCUUUUUAGUUUGGCUCUGGAGUGCUAGGACCACCUUUCCCAGCCUCAGGGGCGCACAUCCUCAGGAGCUGCCUACCUCCAGAUGUACCUCCACGCAGAAGAGGAAGGGCCCAGCUGGGGCACCUCUUGGUUGAGAAAUGGGUAUGCGACGUUGUCAUGUGGGCACAUUUUGAUACUACUUUAAAAAUAGGCCAAGCACAGUGGCUCACGCCUGUAAUUCUAGCACUUUGGGAGGCCAAGGGGGCAGAUCACCUGAGGUCAGGAGUUCAAAAUCAGUCUGGCCAACAUGGAGAAACCCCACCUCUACUAAUAAUAUAAAAAUUAGCUGGGUGUGGUAGCAAACACCUGUAAUUCCAGCUACUCGGGAGGCUGAGGCAGGAGAGUCACUUGAAUCUGGGAGGCAGAGGUUGCAGUGAGCCAAGAUCACACCACAGCACUCCAGCCAGGGUGACAGAGUAAGACUCUGUCUCCAUCAACUAACCAGUAAAUGAAUACAUAAACACCUUUCUACUUGUUUUUGCAGUCCUGAGAUAUGUGCUCAGUAGCAUCCCUGGCCUUCUAAUGUGAACUUGAGGGAUGGGUACAACCCAGAGGUGGCAUGGGGGACAGGAGAUAAGGAAGGCCUACUGUUCAUAUUACUCGCGAACAUAACAUGGUUUUACAUUUUGAUGCCACUUCAUUAAAUUGACUGUGUGAUAUGAGCUGACUUUCCACCCUCCUUUAAAUUCUGGCUGACACAUCCGUAUCCUCAGGUGGUAUCAGUUGAUAAUGCGCAUGAACAUAUUUUGUAAACUACAAGGUGCUAAACAAUUGUUUGCUUGUAUCCCUCUCUGUGGGAUCCAAUUGUUUGCUUAUAUCACCUCUGUUUGGUGCUAUACACAAAGCUGUGAAGUCUCAACAAGGAUGCUGUGACUACGAUGAGCACAAAAUAAAGUCUUUUUGUUGUUAUUUUUCUUUUUGAGAUGGCAUCUUGCUCUGUCGCCCAGGCUAGAUGCUCAAUCUCGGCUCACUGCAACCUCCACCUCCUGGGUUCAAGCGAUUCUCCUGCCUCAGCCUCCCGAGCAGCUGAGAUUACAGGCCUGUGCCACCACUCCUGGGUAAUGUUUUUGUAUUUUCAAUAGAGAUGGGUUUCACCAUGUUGGCCAGGCUGGUGAACUCCUGUGAUCCUCCCACAUCAGCCUUCCAAAGUGCUGGCAUUACAGGUGUGAGCCACUGCACCUGGCACAAAAUAAAAGUCUGAUAAAAUAAUAUUAAAAUUAA